UCCUGGUUAUCGCUGGAUGUGUCUGCGGCGUUUUAUCAUCUUCCUCUUCAUCCUGCUGCUAUGCCUCAUCUUCUUGUUGGUUCUUCUGG
rnacentral:precursor_RNA from 1 species